rnacentral:rRNA from 1 species
GAGUUUGAUCUUGGCUCAGAUUGAACGCUGGCGGCAGGCCUAACACAUGCAAGUCGAACGGUAACAGGAAGCAGCUUGCUGCUUCGCUGACGAGUGGCGGACGGGUGAGUAAUGUCUGGAAGCUGCCUGAUGGAGGGGAUAACUACUGGAAACGGUAGCUAAUACCGCAUAAUGUCGCAAGACCAAAGAGGGGGACCUUCGGGCCUCUUGCCAUCGGAUGUGCCCAGAUGGGAUUAGCUUGUUGGUGGGGUAACGGCUCACCAAGGCGACGAUCCCUAGCUGGUCUGAGAGGAUGACCAGCCACACUGGAACUGAGACACGGUCCAGACUCCUACGGGAGGCAGCAGUGGGGAAUAUUGCACAAUGGGCGCAAGCCUGAUGCAGCCAUGCCGCGUGUAUGAAGAAGGCC